rnacentral:rRNA from 1 species
AUUGAACGCUGGCGGCAUGCCUUACACAUGCAAGUCGAACGGCAGCACGGGUGCUUGUACCUGGUGGCGAGUGGCGAACGGGUGAGUAAUACAUCGGAACAUGUCCUGUAGUGGGGGAUAGCCCGGCGAAAGCCGGAUUAAUACCGCAUACGAUCUACGGAUGAAAGCGGGGGACCUUCGGGCCUCGCGCUAUAGGGUUGGCCGAUGGCUGAUUAGCUAGUUGGUGGGGUAAAGGCCUACCAAGGCGACGAUCAGUAGCUGGUCUGAGAGGACGACCAGCCACACUGGGACUGGGACACGGCCCAGACUCCUACGGGAGGCAGCAGUGGGGAACUUUGGACAAUGGGCGAAAGCCUGAUCCAGCAAUGCCGCGUGUGUGAAGAAGGCCUUCGGGUUGUAAAGCACUUUUGUCCGGAAAGAAAUCCUUGGCUCUAAUAUAGUCGGGGGAUGACGGUACCGGAAGAAUAAGCACCGGCUAACUACGUGCCAGCAGCCGCGGUAA